rnacentral:rRNA from 1 species
CCUACGGGAGGCAGCAGUGAGGAAUAUUGGUCAAUGGUCGGGAGACUGAACCAGCCAAGCCGCGUGAGGGACGAAGGUACAGAGUAUUGUAAACCGCUUUUGUCAGGGAACAAAGGCGGGGACGUGUCCCCGGAUGAGUGUACCUGAAGAAUAAGCAUCGGCUAACUCCGUGCCAGCAGCCGCGGUAAUACGGAGGAUGCGAGCGUUAUCCGGAUUUAUUGGGUUUAAAGGGUGCGGAGGCGGUCUGUUAAGUUAGCGGUCAAAGCCCGGGGCUCAACCCCGGCACUGCCGUUGAUACUGGCAGUCUAGAGUUGGAGAGCAGUAUGCGGAAUGCGCGGUGUAGCGGUGAAAUGCAUAGAGAUCGAGCAGAACUCCGAUUGCGAAGGCAGCAUGCCGGCUCCACACUGACGCUGAGGCACGAAAGCGUGGGUAUCGAACAGGAUUAGAUACCCGAGUAGUC